UGCCAGCAGCCGCGGUAAUACGGAGGGUGCAAGCGUUAUUCGGAUUUACUGGGCGUAAAGCGCGCGUAGGUGGUUUAGCAAGUCCGAUGUGAAAGCCCUGGACUCAAUCCAGGAAGGGCAUUGGAUACUGCUAGACUUGAGUACAGGAGGGGUGAGCGGAAUUCCAGGUGUAGAGGUGAAAUUCGUAGAUAUCUGGAGGAACAACGGCGGCGAAGGCGGCUCACUGGACUGUUACUGACACUGAGGCGCGAAAGCGUGGGGAGCGAACAGGAUUAGAUA
rnacentral:rRNA from 1 species